GGACCAACUUCUAAUUCCAGCCUUCAAGGUGGGGAGAUCCAUCUGUGGAACGGGCCACACUUUCUGCUGGCAGCCUACAGAGAGGACAAGGACGAAGGAAGCUCGCUCUCUGCCUGCCUGCUCUCACGCUUGCUAGCAAGUCCAUUCUUUCACUGGCAUCAGGGCCCACUUCUUGGGGAUCCUGGCAUACGCAGAGGGUCAGAUGAGACAUCAUCCAGCCUUGUGGAGUGAUUGGCUACUGCAUCCUUGGACCUUCCAUUGGUAGACAUCUGUUGUUGAACUAGCUGAACCACAGCCUGAAGGCCUCCAUGGUACCUGUCAUGCACACACUGGUGCACCCUCCAGCUGAGCAUCCUCUAGAGCCUCUUCUCUCCAUGUACCAACUAUCAACAUUUCCCAGGGAGAGCACAAUGCAGUCCUCACUACAUCAAAUUGUGCAGUCAAGUUUCCUGCAUUUGCGGAAAUCUCAGGGGUCAGCACAUCCAGAGUGCAAUGGAUAAGUCUUACCCUGCCAGAACAGUCUGGAAGAGGGACCACUAUAGCAUCACAUACGAACGCAGAACCUGAGCUUCUUGAAGAAACCUCGGUCUCUAUAUCAGAUUCACUGAUUAAAGCAACAAUGAUAGAGCA